GAGGGUAUAGCUUAGUGGUAGAGUGCAUGCCUAGCAUGCAUAAGGUCCUGGAUUCAAUCCCCAGUACCUCCA
rnacentral:tRNA from 1 species